AUACGUAGGUGACAAGCGUUAUCCGGAUUUACUGGGCGUAAAGGGCGUGUAGGCGGUCUUGCAAGUCAGAAGUGAAAUUCCUGAGCCCAACUCGGGCGCUGCUUCUGAAACUGCAGGACUUGAGUGCUGGAGGGGAUAGCGGAAUUCCUAGUGGAGCGGUAAAAUGCGCAGAUAUUAGGAAGAACACCGGUGGCGAAGGCGGUAGUCUGGACAGUAACUGACACUCAGGCGCGAAAGCGUGGGGAUCAAACAGGAUUAGAUACCCUGGUAUUCCACGCCGUAAACGAUGAAUACUAGGUGUAGGGGAUAUCGACUCCCUCUUUGCCUCAGUUAACACAAUAAGUAUUCCGCCUGGAGAGUACGGCCGCAAGGUUGAGACUUAAAUGAAUUGACUAGG
rnacentral:rRNA from 1 species